rnacentral:rRNA from 1 species
AACAAACGCUGGCGGCGUGCCUAAUACAUGCAAGUCGAACGGGGAAAGCUUUCGGGUGAGUACUAGUGGCGCACGGGUGAGUAACGCGUGGAUAAUCUGCCCUCGAAUGGGGAAUAACUAGUCGAAAGAUUAGCUAAUACCGCAUAAGACCACGACUACUGAGGUAGUUGGGGUCAAAGGAGCAAUUCGUUUGAGGAUGAGUCCGCGUAAGAUUAGCUAGUUGGUGGGGUAAUGGCUCACCAAGGCGAUGAUCUUUAACUGUUCUGAGAGGAUGAUCAGUCACACUGGAACUGAGACACGGUCCAGACUCCUACGGGAGGCAGCAGUAGGGAAUAUUGGACAAUGGGGGCAACCCUGAUCCAGCGACGCCGCGUGAGCGAUGAAGGCCUUCGGGUCGUAAAGCUCUGUUGUAAGGGAAAAAGUUCUGAUUGUACCUUACGAGAAAGGAUCGGCUAACUUCGUGCCAGCAGCCGCAGUAA